UACGUGCUGACGAGCGGCGAACGGGUGAGUAACGCUUCGGAAUCUGCCCAAUGGUGGGGAAUAACCAGCCGAAAGGUUGGCUAAUACCGCAUGAGCCCUACGGGGGAAAGCGGGGGAUCGCAAGACCUCGCGCCGAUGGAUGAGCCGAAGCCGGAUUAGCUAGUUGGUAGGGUAACGGCCUACCAAGGCGACGAUCCGUAGCUGGUCUGAGAGGACGACCAGCCACACUGGGACUGAGACACGGCCCAGACUCCUACGGGAGGCAGCAGUGGGGAAUAUUGGACAAUGGGGGAAACCCUGAUCCAGCGACGCCGCGUGUGUGAAGAAGGCCUGCGGGUUGUAAAGCACUUUUAGUGGGGAUGAAAAGCUCAGAGCUAACACCUCUGGGUCUUGACCUAACCCACAGAAAAAGCACCGGCUAACUCUGUGCCAGCAGCCGCGGUAAUACAGAGGGUGCAAGCGUUAAUCGGAAUUACUGGGCGUAAAGCGUACGUAGACGGUUGGAUAAGUCGGAUGUGAAAGCCCCGGGCUCAACCUGGGAAUGGCAUUCGAGACUGUGCAGCUAGGGUGCGGAAGAGGGAAGCGGAAUUUCCGGUGUAGCGGUGAAAUGCGUAGAUAUCGGAAGGAACACCAGUGGCGAAAGCGGCUUCCUGGUCCAGCACCGACGUUCAGGUACGA
rnacentral:rRNA from 1 species